AUGGAAAUCUCUGUAAUUUUUAGAUUUUUAGAUAGUAUAGGGCGGAUUAGCCAA
rnacentral:tRNA from 1 species